CCUACGGGAGACAGCAGUGGGGAAUAUUGGGCAAUGGGCGCAAGCCUGACCCAGCAACGCCGCGUGAAGGAAGAAGGCUCUCGGGUUGUAAACUUCUUUUAUCAGGGACGAAGCAAGUGACGGUACCUGAUGAAUAAGCCACGGCUAACUACGUGCCAGCCGCCGCGGUAAUACGUAGGUGGCAAGCGUUAUCCGGCUUUACUGGGUGGAUAGGGCGUGUAGGCGGGAAAGCAAGUCAGAUGUGAAAACCAUGGGCUCAACCUGUGGCCUGCAUUUGAAACUGUUUUUCUUGAGUACUGGAGAGGAAGAAGGAAUUCCUAGUGUAGCGGUGAAAUGCGUAGAUAUUAGGAGGAACACCAGUGGCGAAGGCGGUCUGCUGGACAGCAACUGACGCUGAGGCGCGAAAGCGUGGGGAGCAAACAGGAUUAGAUACCCCUGUAGUC
rnacentral:rRNA from 1 species